rnacentral:rRNA from 1 species
GACAGAGGAUGCAAGCGUUAUCCGGAAUGAUUGGGCGUAAAGCGUCUGUAGGUGGCUUUUCAAGUCCGCCGUCAAAUCCCAGGGCUCAACCCUGGACAGGCGGUGGAAACUACCAAGCUGGAGUACGGUAGGGGCAGAGGGGGGUGGAAUUCCGCGUGUAGCAGUGAAAUGCGUAGAGAUGCGGAGGAACACCGAUGGCGAAGGCAGCCCCCUGGGCUAACACUGACGCUCAGGCACGAAAGCGUGGGGAGCAAACAGG